CCUACGGGAGGCAGCAGUGGGGGAUAUUGCACAAUGGGGGGAACCCUGAUGCAGCGACGCCGCGUGGGUGAAGAAGCGCCUCGGCGCGUAAAGCCCUGUCAGCAGGGAAGAAAAUGACGGUACCUGAAGAAGAAGCCCCGGCUAACUACGUGCCAGUAGCCGCGGUACUACGUAGGGGGCAAGCGUUAUCCGGAUUUACUGUGUGUAAAGUGGGCGCAGACGGAGAUGCACGCCCGGAGUGAAAGCCCGGUGCAGAACCCCGGGACUGCUCUUGGAACUGCGUGGCUGGAGUGCAGGAGGGGCAGGCGGAAUGCCUGGGGUAGCGGUGAAAUGCGUAGAUAUCAGGAGGAACACCGGUGGCGAAGGCGGCCGGCUGGACUGCAACUGACGUUGAGGCCCGAAAGCGUGGGGAGCAAACAGGAUUAGAUACCCGAGUAGUC
rnacentral:rRNA from 1 species